rnacentral:rRNA from 1 species
CCCUUAGAUGUUCUGGGCCGCACGCGCGCUACACUGAUGCAUUCAACAAGUUCUACCUUGGCCGAGAGGCCUGGGAAAUCUUUCAAAUAUGUAUCGUGAUAGGGAUAGAUUAUUGCAAUUAUUAAUCUUGAACGAGGGAUUCCUAGUAAAUGCAGAUCAUCAUUCUGCGUUGAUUACGUCCCUGCCCUUUGUACACACCGCCCGUCGCACCUACCGAUUGAAUGAUCCGGUGAAGCCUCGGGAUUGUGCCCAGAGAACUUUAUUGUGAUUUGGGUGUGAGAACUUGUCUAAACCUUAUCAUUUAGAGGAAGGUGAAGUCGUAACA